rnacentral:rRNA from 1 species
AUGUAUGCCAUGCUGUGUACCAGACCUGAUGUAAACCUUGCCGUAAGUUUGGUAGGAAGGUACCAAAGUAAUCCCGGCAAGGAACACUGGACAGCGGUCAAGAAUAUCCUGAAGUACCUGAAGAGGACUAAGGAUAUGUUUCUCGUUUAUGGAGGUGACGAAGAGCUCGUCGUAAAGGGUUACGUCGACGCUAGCUUCGACACAGAUCUGGAUGACUCGAAGUCACAGACUGGAUACGUGUAUAGUUUGAAUGGAGGAGCAGUAAGCUGGUGCAGUUGCAAGCAAAGCGUCGUGGCGGGAUCUACAUGUGAAGCGGAGUACAUGGCAGCCUCGGAGGCAGCACAGGAAGCAGUCUGGAUGAAGGAGUUCAUUACUGACCUAGGGGUGAUUCCCAAUGCGUCGGGCCCAAUGACUCUCUUCUGUGACAACACUGGAGCUAUUGCCCUUGCGAAGGAGCCUAGGUUUCACAGGAAGACCAGGCAUAUCAAGCGUCGCUUCAACUCCAUUCGUGAAAGUGUUCAAAAUGGAGACAUAGAUAUUUGUAAAGUACACACGGACCUGAAUGUAGCAGAUCCGUUGACUAAACCUCUCCCUAGGGCAAAACAUGAUCAACACCAGGACGCAAUGGGUGUUCGAUUCAUCACAAUGUAA